AUUGAACGCUGGCGGCAGGCCUAACACAUGCAAGUCGAGCGGAUGACGGGAGCUUGCUCCUUGAUUCAGCGGCGGACGGGUGAGUAAUGCCUAGGAAUCUGCCUGGUAGUGGGGGACAACGUUUCGAAAGGAACGCUAAUACCGCAUACGUCCUACGGGAGAAAGCAGGGGACCGUCGGGCCUUGCGCUAUCAGAUGAGCCUAGGUCGGAUUAGCUAGUUGGUGGGGUAAUGGCUCACCAAGGCGACGACCCGUAACUGGUCUGAGAGGAGGAUCAGUCACACUGGAACUGAGACACGGUCCAGACUCCUACGGGAGGCAGCAGUGGGGAAUAUUGGACAAUGGGCGAAAGCCUGAUCCAGCCAUGCCGCGUGUGUGAAGAAGGUCUUCGGAUUGUAAAGCACUUUAAGUUGGGAGGAAGGGCAGUAAGUUAAUACCUUGCUGUUUUGACGUUACCGGCAGAAUAAGCACCGGCUAACUCUGUGCCAGCAGCCGCCGUAA
rnacentral:rRNA from 1 species